CAGUCGCCACGGGAAUACGAAGGGGGCUAGCGUUGCUCGGAAUGACUGGGCGUAAAGGGCGCGUAGGCGGUUUUGACAGUCAGAUGUGAAAUUCCUGGGCUUAACCUGGGGGCUGCAUUUGAGACGCCAAGACUAGAGUGUGAGAGAGGGUUGUGGAAUUCCCAGUGUAGAGGUGAAAUUCGUAGAUAUUGGGAAGAACACCUGUGGCGAAAGCGGCUCACUGGACCAUUACUGACGCUGAGGCGCGAAAGCUAGGGGAGCAAACAGAAUUAGAUACCCCAGUAGUCCCUGUCUCUUAUAC
rnacentral:rRNA from 1 species